AAGAGCCGAAUGAAGGGAGACUUUCACGUUCGGUUAUGUGAGAGACUGGGGGUGAAAUUCCCGAGGUCUACUCAAC
rnacentral:ncRNA from 2 species